rnacentral:rRNA from 1 species
GACGAACCGUGCGAACGUUGUUCGGAAUCACUGGGCUUAAAGGGCGCGUAGGCGGGCUCCUCAGUCUGUGGUGAAAUCCUCCAGCUUAACUGGAGAAGUGCCGUGGAUACUGGGAGCCUCGAGGAGGUUAGGGGCAUCUGGAACAGCCGGUGGAGCGGUGAAAUGCGUUGAUAUCGGCUGGAACUCCGGUGGCGAAGGCGAGAUGCUGGACCCUUCCUGACGCUGAGGCGCGAAAGCCAGGGGAGCAAACGGG